CUGCUCUCCUUCAUCUCUCCAGCAAACACAAUGUACUGACUCUAAAACAGUUACUUGGAUGGAGGAGGAGAAGCAGUGGCUAUGGCAAACUUGGAAUAGGAGAAGGUGGGUCCUAGUCUGGGCCCAGCGACCUCUAACUCUGUGAUGACCCUGGAUUUUCAGACCCAAGUGACUUGCCCAUGGCCACAGAAGAACUGGUGGCAGAUCUGCUUCCUAUCUGUAGCUCUUUCCACUGCUCACAUGGCCACUUGUGUUCAGCAGCUGGUGACUAGACCAGCUCUCAGUUGGCAGCAGCAUAGCAAAUACAGA
rnacentral:lncRNA from 1 species